AAUUGCGGUCCUCAGCUCUCCAGACUCAUGAAGGCCACCACCUGCUCCAGCUUGAAGGCCAGCCUCUGUUUCCGGGCUGCAUCGUCCUGCUCCAGUGAGCACACAAUCUGCCAGCAGGACAGAGAGAUUGAACCAGAGACCAAGCAGUUGAGAGGCGGGACAGAUGCUAGAGAUCCAGCUGCAGCCACUCGAGGACAGGCCCGGUGUUUGGCUGGAUAACUCUGGGCAUGUG